UAGGGAAUUGUUCGCAAUGGGCGCAAGCCUGACGACGCAACGCCGCGUGGAGGAUGAAGGGCUUCGGCUCGUAAACUCCUUUCGACCGAGAUGAACAUCCGCGGAGCUAAUAUCUCCGCGGACUGACAGUAUCGAGGGAAGAAGCCCCGGCUAACUCCGUGCCAGCAGCCGCGGUAAUACGGGGGGGGCAAGCGUUGUUCGGAAUUACUGGGCGUAAAGGGUUCGUAGGUGGCCAACUAAGUCAGACGUGAAAUCCCUCAGCUUAACUGAGGAACUGCGUCUGAUACUGGUUGGCUUGAGUGCAGGAGAGGAACGCGGAAUUCCAGGUGUAGCGGUGAAAUGCGUAGAUAUCUGGAGGAACACCGGUGGCGAAGGCGGCGUUCUGGACUGUAACUGACACUGAGGAACGAAAGCCAGGGGAGCAA
rnacentral:rRNA from 1 species